rnacentral:rRNA from 1 species
AUGGACCAUUCCAUCCCUUUUUCCCGUGCAUAUGCAUCGGACUCGGACGACGAUGGUCCCGAUGAACAAGUUGAUGCGGAGGGGUUCACGGUGAAGGAGGCCGAAGCUUUCGAGAAGGUAUUUGGUCGGGAUCAUCGGACUACAUUGUUCAAGGAUGUUAGUCUCGCGGAUGAAGCUGUGGUAGAUGGUGGCCAAUGUGUACCUCUUGGUGUUAGGCCAAGCUCUCACCAUGAUUUGGUAGACGACAAGAACCGGAUUGCUAAAGGACAGCUUGUUGGAAUUGAAGAUGUGGCUCGACAACUACUCGGUUACGCAUUAUUGUCCACACAAGGUGGUGAACUCGGACGUCAAUGUGCGCUACACGGUUGCAUGUGCAUGUGA